rnacentral:rRNA from 1 species
AUUGAACGCUGGCGGCAGGCCUAACCCAUGCAAGUCGAACGAGUGGCGGACGGGUGAGUAAUGUCUGGGAAACUGCCCGAUGGAGGGGGAUAACUACUGGAAACGGUAGCUAAUACCGCAUACCAUCGGAUGUGCCCAGAUGGGAUUAGCUUGUAGGUGCGGUAACGGCUCACCUAGGCGGCGAUCCCUAGCUGGUCUGAGAGGAUGACCAGCCACAGUGGAACGGUGACACGGUCCAGACUCCUACGGGAGGCAGCAGUGGGGAAUAUUGCACAAUGGGCGCAAGCCCGAUGCAGCCAUGCCGCGUGUAGGAAGAAGGCCUUCGGGUUGUAAAGUACUUUCAGCUGGGAGGCGUUACCCGCAGAAGAAGCACCGGCUAACUCGGUGCCAGCAGCCGCGGUAAUUC